rnacentral:rRNA from 1 species
GAUGAACGCUGGCGGCGUGCCUAAUACAUGCAAGUCGAGCGAACGGACGAGAAGCUUGCUUCUCUGAUGUUAGCGGCGGACGGGUGAGUAACACGUGGAUAACCUACCUAUAAGACUGGGAUAACUUCGGGAAACCGGAGCUAAUACCGGAUAAUAUUUUGAACCGCAUGGUUCAAAAGUGAAAGACGGUCUUGCUGUCACUUAUAGAUGGAUCCGCGCUGCAUUAGCUAGUUGGUAAGGUAACGGCUUACCAAGGCAACGAUGCAUAGCCGACCUGAGAGGGUGAUCGGCCACACUGGAACUGAGACACGGUCCAGACUCCUACGGGAGGCAGCAGUAGGGAAUCUUCCGCAGUGGGGGAAAGCCUGACGGAGCAAAGGCGCGUGAGUGAUGAAGGUCUUCGGAUCGUAAAACUCUGUUAUUAGGGAAGAACAUAUGUGUAAGUAACUGUGCACAUCUUGACGGUACCUAAUCAGAAAGCCACGGCUAACUACGUG